GAGUAACGAGAUUCGAAUAAUUAUAUUUCAAAUUCUAACAAAACUCCAGGAGACGACAUUAAUACUGUCUACCCUGGGCACCAGGUACUUCUGAGAGUAUUGCCGUCCCGAUAAUCGUGUUCAGCGACCCCAAAAACCCCCUAGUAACUAGUACUUUCUCUCGUCAAUAUUUACCGCGUUUUUUUGCUUUGCUGCAUUAUUAUUUACAUUUGAGGUUACGUAUCUCUUCUUUAAAAACAAUAUGGGCAAAAAUAACCUUAUUCUUGCGUUAAAACGAUGUCGCUGUUAGCCAUUUAUAACCCAAUAUUCUUGGCUUAGAUAAGCUAAUUCGACACUUAUAAGCUUAUUUUUGGGUUUUUAUUCGUGAUUUAGCUACUUAAUGGAUUUGAUAUGAUUAUUCAAUAAUAAUAGCUGCCGAAAGCUCCUGUUUUAAUUUUAACUUCGAUAUUCCAAAGCAAGCCGUGAACAGCAGUCUAAGAAGAAAAUCUUCUGACGAAACCGCACGUGUAAAAGAUUUGCAAGCAAGGAACGGCGCAGUCCGCGCGCACAUACAACCACUAAAUACAAGGCCUUUUGACGACAUCAGGUGCUCAAAGUGCACAAGUCAAAAGGACAACUCGAUCUGUAUGGCUCCUGUCUUGCAAAACGCACGCGUGAAAAUCCCAUUGGUACGAAGCAAAGUGGGCGCACGCAUAGCAACCGACAUGUAGUAGUGUACUAAUACAGUGACGAAUGAUAAAACGCAUCUAUUUUAACGGCUCUCGUAAAAGUCUUCGAGAGAGAAAAUGCAGUGGAAGCGAGAUGGCAUUGCGUGUAUGGCGCGAGUUGGAGCUGGGAGCAUUCAGCGGCAGCACCAUCUCGAAGAGUCAGUACGAAGCAAAAAUAAUUCUCGCAUCGUACGAUCGUAAGGCACAGCACACGACGAGGCCGGCGGGGAUCGAUAAAACCAGCACGCUGCACGACGGUGUAAGCCAGAGACAGCAGAAGCAAUGACCAGCAAGUGAAGCCAAGAUUAGCCUUGGAGUUUCCGCGUGUAAGAAACGGCAUGCAUCGUGCUCGACCAGUUGGUAAGGCAGAUCAUUCCUUGUACCGGACAGCAGAGCUGCAGCACGACCGACUAGCGGCUGCAGCGCGCUUACGUUCACGGUUGCGAGAUGUCAAUGAGCGGCGUUUCGUCUGAGCGCACUAUACUUUGUUUACUGGCUGUCAGAAAUAUAAAAUGUGCCUAGGAAGCCACUGCAGGCUAUAUUACGUUAUCUUGGAGACCAGCGCGCGAGUUCACGUUUUUAUGUUAUAUCAUUUAUCUUGUUCAAAGUGCAUCGCUGUACGUAAUUCUGUUUUCGAGCUUUUCAAUCAGUGCUACUGCUAUAAAAUUCGUAUCUUGAUAAUUAUGAAAUGUUAUGUAGAACGAAAAUACGACAGAGAUAAGGGAAACGAUGACACAUGCAACAAAUCAAAAUACAUUUGUUUUUCGAAGUAUCGUCUGAUUGUUCUGCUUUUUUCAGAAGGUCUAGCAUUUCAGCCUAUUUUGGAACAUUUCUCAAAUGCAUGAAAUUAUUCAAAUAAAGAGACAAACGUUUUAGAGAAAUUGGAUGACAUUAAAAUUGUGUUAAUAGUUGAUUUAGUUUAGUACUUUUAAUGAAAUUGUCAAAUUCUAAAUAACAUAAGAAUAUCGUGUAGCGUAAAUUAUUACAACUUGAUUCUGCGAUUAGCAAGCUUAGAUUACUUCACAGCCAAAGUAUGUCACCUGGCAGGACUUCUGAUCGAUUAUUUCUUACUGCGUCAUACCAUUGCUGCUUAUUACAACUGCAAUGGUCUUAUAAUGCAGUUCGGUGGCUGCACUAUUUCUUUUUAAUCGAUGAAACUUGUGCCAUUUAUUAAUAUACAAUAAAGAUUUUUCGCGAAAUUUAAAAAUAAAUAUCAAACGUAAAAACUAAAACAGCACAAAACAACUUCUGCUUACGAU